ensembl:lncRNA
CUGCUCUUUACUCAUGAAGACACACAUGAGAAUGGUGAAAAAAGAGAAAGGAAAAGCAAUUGCUUGUGGAUAUGAAACACGACUGUGAAAACUAGUUUUAUUUUAAGCACUUGGAGAACAUUACAACGUGAGUCAAAGCCAUUUCCUACUACCUGUAGAGCAUAGGUUUGCAGCAAGCAUAAAGAAGCAAAUGCAAAAGGAGUGAAAAUGAGAGCAGCAUGGGUCUGCUGCGUGCUGCCAUCGUGGCAAAGGUCCGCCUGGGGCAGCUAAUGAGGCUGGAAAAAGAGCUUUGGAUGUUCCACACUUAAUCUCCAUCAAAACUAGGUUUAAGGUCCUGUUUUCAUUUCGAAGGCUUCUGGCAGAGGUGGAGCUGAUGAAGCCACUGGAUUUUUUCUAUCUAGCGGAGACGUGAGGGAAGUGACUGAAGUGCUUCCAGGUGUUUUGACUUCAGGAGAGUCUUCAGCUCGCUGGUGGUUUGUGCUCCAGGUUCAGGGUUCGCCCACAGUUGCUGCCCUCCCGGGCUGCUCGGUGGCUGCUGAGUCUGUUGGCAGCCUGCAGAACCCCCGUGAGAGCCGAAAGAGCCUGGCCGUCCCACAGAGACAGUUGGAUCAGUGUAACCACUCCAGGCUUUGGUGCCAAAGUGCACGACAGCUCCAGGAAUGACCUCUGAAGAGGUAGUUUCGACCUCUGGUUUAUCUGUAAUUGCGCUGGAAAAUGAGCCUGAUGUGCUGACCUCUCAUUUUCACAUCCCCAGCUGUGAGUUUGUGAGGCAGGCUGUGUGUGUCUCAGUAUUAAAUAAUGAGAUGGAGUAACACAGGCGAUCAUCAUACAGUGUUCACACGUCUGCAAUGCACGGAGUCAGAGACGGUCCAACAAAGUGCUUCAGAAAAGGCCUCGCCUUUGGAUUUUUGUGGAGAUGUUGAUCUACAGAAAAGGUAAAUGCUUGGGAUGGAAACUGAGAUGUACUCAGCUGGUGAAAGCUUCUACCAAGCUCUUGGCAUUGACACUCUCCUCCCAUCAGAAAGACAAUACAAAUACAAACAGUUCUGGAUGAGCUGAAACUGAAGUGUGGAGCUUUUCUGGAGCAUAUUAAAAGAAAAGCCUGCUCAGACAUACCGUGGGAACUAAAGAGGCGUACGUGUCCAGCAACAGUUUGCUUCAUAGUGGAGACUGUGCAUGCAGGUCACAUUUCCCUCUGCAGUCAUCUUCUGGAUUGUGUUUAUCUAUGUGUCAGAAGUGAAAACACAGACAUAAGAACAUAAGAACACUUAACGUUUUCUUUUUUUUUUUCAUCUAGAUAAAAAGGGAAUUGAUUGACAUCUCAUAUUUCUGGGGUUUAGUGAGAUCAUAACUGCACUUUAAUUGGUUUAAUUACCAGAAUAUAAUAUUGCAGGUAUGUAAUGUAGACCUGUAAUAUAGUUAUACAAUGUACGAUAUGUGUUAUAUAUAAUAAAAUACAACAGGUCAUAUAACACAGUUUUCGUAAUAGUUAUUAGUAGGACUAUCAGUAGUGAAUAUUCAAUGACAUGAAUAGAAAUUUCCCAUGAG